GUGUCAGCCGCCGCGGUAAGACGGAGGGUGCAAGCGUUGUUCGGAAUUACUGGGCGUAAAGCGCGGGCAGGUGGUCCUUUAAGUCCUUUGUGAAAUCCCGGGGCUCAACUCCGGAUGUGCAUAGGAUACUGGAGGACUGGAGACUGGUAGAGGCGAGCGGAAUUCCUGGUGUAGCGGUGGAAUGCGUAGAUAUCAGGAAGAACACCGGUGGCGAAGGCGGCUCGCUGGGCCAGUUCUGACACUCAUCCGCGAAAGCGUGGGGAGCAAACAGGAUUAGAAACCCGUGUAGUCC
rnacentral:rRNA from 1 species